rnacentral:rRNA from 1 species
GUCUAUAGCCAUACCAUCCUGAACAAGCCCACUGUCUGAUCUUGGAAGCUAAGUAGGGUUGGGCCUGGUUUGUACUUGGAUGGGAGACCACCUAGGAAGAUCAGGUGCUGUAGGCA